GCUUCUUCUUGGACACAACCCGGAAGUAAUAGAAAAGGCGGUUCGGUUGAAAUCUUCCCUGGAGCCACAAGGUCUAAAUUUGAAUUGCCAGGAGGUUCGGGUGGGGGUGAGAGCAGGGAGCAGAUGUCCGUGUGCAUAUAGAUCUGCCAAGUGGGUCCAGAGCGCCGGGGCAGCCACAUAGACACAAGGGCCCCAAAUGGUGUGACAAAGGAUGUGCAGGAAGCCCCUCUCCGCCUGGAUGAGCCCCAGAGUGGGUGCCAGCCUUUUAGAGCCAGAGUCUUGUGUUCUUCAGCAGGACGAUGAGGAACGAAGACUGAGUGUAAAGGACAGCGCUGAAAAGAAGAAGAAGCCAAUGAUAUUCAUUGAAUUAAAGAAAGAAAUAAUCAAAAAACAUGAAAGAGCGUUCACUUUGAGUGCACUAUACUGAAGCAAAAGGAGUCAAUAACGCCUACCAAGGAUUUUAACUUUAAUUUAUAGAUGGCAGGCAUUUAUUCAUGAAAAUAUGGAGAUGCUGCUGAUGGUGUGUUUGAUGGAAAAGCAACUCAAAGAAAUAUAGAAGAGGGCUGCUCUCCAAAUG